UACGGGGGGGGCAAGCGUUGUUCGGAAUUACUGGGCGUAAAGGGCGCGUAGGCGGCCAUCUAAGUCAGACGUGAAAUCCCCCGGCUUAACCUGGGAACUGCGUCUGAUACUGGAAGGCUUGAGUAUGGGAGAGGGAUGUAGAAUUCCAGGUGUAGCGGUGAAAUGCGUAGAUAUCUGGAGGAAUACCGGUGGCGAAGGCGGCAUCCUGGACCAUUACUGACGCUGAGGCACGAAGGUCAGGGGAGCAAACGGG
rnacentral:rRNA from 1 species